GUGCCUGUAGCUCAGCUGGAUAGAGCGUCUGACUACGGAUCAGAAGGUCGGAGGUUCGAAUCCUUCCAGGCACA
rnacentral:tRNA from 1 species